CCCCGUCCUUUGCAAAGAGAGAGAGAGAGAGGAAGAGAUAGACAGAGAGAGGAGGCAAAGUACUUCUAUCGGUAGUAGCGAUGGUUUCCCUUCCUUCUAAUUUCUAGAUAAGAUUGGCUCUAACUUCCACUGCAUGUCCUCUAGAAGUCAAAAGCCCUUCCCAACCUUCCUCCACAUUCACUUGAUUUUCAUGAGCAUCCUCCCCAAGCUCCCAGCUCCUAUUUAAUUAGUUUGAUUUAUGAGUAGUCACCCUGCCGCCCCUCAUAUGUGGUUCCUGUUCUAGACAACAUUGACACAGAUGUCGAAUUUAGACCCUUUCUGUGGUUUCCUCAUCCACUCUACCCUCCUUCAAAAGCAAAGUCCAGCAAAACAAAAUUCUGCGCACAAGGCUUGCUUUCUUUUGGCAGCCGACUUUAAUAAAAGGAGAUUGCAGGGGAAGGAGAAGUAAUCAUUACAGCAAUAUAAACAACUUGAAUAGAACACUCAACAUGUCUAUUUUCAAAAGUCCUUCCACCGUCCAUCCCUAGGGAGUUUUCUUUGGCCACCUUGUUCCAUGCCACACUGCUCAGCUUAUGCCAUCACAUCAAGUCCCUGCUCGCUAUUUCGAGGUAGUGCUCCCUAGAACUCCGAAUUCUUUAUUAAGUAGAGCCAAUUAGCCCUUUUCUGUCUCUAAUCAUAAACUUCGCCCCUUAGCCAACUGAGUGAGGUCCUCAGUAGAAAAUGUGGGGAGCUCAUCCAAUAAGAUCUGCCUUCCUUAGAGGCUAUAAAUUGCAUUUUCCCAUCCAUUACAUAAUGAUUUGCAUUCUUAACGAAAGUGUGGCUAUGGUUUCACAGUUUAUUUUUUUAAAUGCCAUUUACCUAGAGUUAAUAGACCUAAGAAGAGAGAACCACCUCCGCACAAACAUCAGAAGUGGAACACACAAGGGGAUCAAGGUUACGUGCAAGUGCCCUUUGGUUUCAAUGUUUCCAAAUAGCUGUGGUGCUUUUUUAAAAGAAGACCUUGACAAAUACUGAUCAAGGUCUACUCUUAUCAGUAAAUGGCCUUGAUCUUGGCUAUUGGGUCCAGAGCUGAACAUGCUCUGUAUGUAACCUACUGGCUUAUGUUGACUUUGGAAGAUUUACAGCUCUCGAGUGACAAAAUGCUUGCCGUUUCUAAGCUUUCUAAUGUACACGCCAUUACACUCUUCACUUCUACUGAUAUUUCUUUGCCCUAAUAGAUGUUAUUAUGAGUUUAACUACAUUUUUGUGUAAACCUAAUAUUUAUAAGCUUUGAAAAGUGUGCCGUUUCAAGGUGAAAAGAACAAGGAGGGGAAAAUAACAUCAAUUCAGUUAACCCAUCUCUAUAGAACCAUUAAGCCAUCUCUAUGGAACCAACUUUGGAUCAACUGCUUUAAUUGAGAUAUAUUCUUUAAACACCUAUAGAACCUAACGUGUGGCCACUAUAAGAUGAACCCAAGGUGAACUGGAGGCUGGAGUGUGAAGAAAGUUCUUGCUAUCUUUCUCUGGACUUCAGUUAAGCAACCAAGAAAAGCAGCAUGUCCCAUGACUUCAGAUGUUUGGAUCAAUUUUCCAAUUACGUUUUAGUAGAUUAACAUCAUGGCCAUGAGCUCCUCCGAUUACAGUCUUUCUCGAGUAACAUCUGAGGACCAGCUAAUAGCAGCUACUCAGCUACUAAAUACAUAUUGCCUGUGAUGUUCAAGCCUUUGCAGAUAAAAUCAGCAGUCCACAAAGCAAGAACAGCCUGAGCAAACUGCUCAAGCUUUUUAGAGCCACAGGUUACAGAAACUUGCUUUGUCAGCACUGGAAUCAAGCCACUGACUGAGGUAACUAUCACGAGAACAGACUGUAGAUUGGAGCUUCCCAGCAGUGUACCAUAAAUAGGUGACUGGAGUGCAGAGACAGUCAGCACUUGGUGAGCUCAUUGGGUGCUGGAACAGCUGGAUCCCCUGGACCGACGACCUCCAGCUUCAAGCAGGCCCUUCCCGUUACCCCCAUGCGCCUAAAAUAGGAUUAUUUUCUAUGCCUACCAUGAUGGGGAAAAAAUUAAGAACCACUCCCAUGGAUAGUAGCUAUCAUCAAAUUUUUAAGUAUCCAGGUUGGAAGGUCAUCUAGUUUAACGUCUAGACUAAUUUGUCAACAAAUAUAUUUGUUUUCUAACAACAGCAAGGUUCCAGAACAUUGAUCUUACUGGUUGAUUUUUUUUAUUGUGAUAAAAUGCACAUUACAAAAUUUAGUGUCGCAAUCGUUUUUAAGUUCAAACUUCAGUAGUGUUAAUUACAUUUCAAUUGUUAUGCAACCAAUCUCAAAAAUUCUUUUCAUGUUACAAAACUGAAAUUCUGUACCCCUUAAACAACAACGCUCCAUUGUUCCCUCCCCCAGCCCCUGGCAACCACCCCUCUACUUUCUGCCUAUAUGAAUUUGACUACUCUAAGUACGUCAUACAAGUGGAAUCAUACAGUAUUUGUCUUUGUGUGACUGGCUUAUUUCACCUAGCAUAAUGUCCUCAAAGUUCAUAUGUGUUGUAUUAUGUGUCACAAUUUCUUUUAAAGGCUGAGUUAUAUUCCAUUGUAUGUAUCUGCCACAUUUUGCUUAACUCAUUGAUGUUUUGUGGAUGUUUUUGUUAUUGAUAGAAUCUUACUUGACUUUCUAGAGCAAGAUCAGUGUGCCUAGAAGCCACUGCAUUAUGA
rnacentral:lncRNA from 1 species